UGGCGAAAACCAGCUUCCAUACGGACUCGCUCCAACUGCUCUGCUGAGACGAAUACAGAUCCCCGGACUGACUGAGCGAGCGAGAGUGUGUUAGAGGUUCAGCAAAGUUCGUUUGCACGGUGAUGGGAGGGGGAGACUAUGGGAGCUACGCCAAGAGAUUGCUUCUUUGACGCUUUGGACUUGCUCCAGCUGUUCUGCUGAGACACAUGCAGUUCCCUGGCCUGACUGAGCGAACGAACGAGAGUGUGUGAGAGGUUCAGCAAAGUUCGUUUGCAUGGUGAUGGGAGGGGGAGACUAUGGGAGCUACGCCAAGAGUAAGGCUGAACACAGGCAGUAUCAAGACAGCAGAGAACAAAAUGUACUCGGGACUCUGCUUCAUUCUGAAAGUGUGAACAUCAUUUCCUUUAGAUAUGUAGGUUGUUUACAGAAAUACUUUUAGGAAGUCGUGCAGUGUGAUGUGCAGUACUCCUUUCUAAAGAGCAAUUCGAUCAUACUUUUAUAAAUACUGUGCAUGUAGCUUCAUGACCUACUUAGUAUUAAGUGCCUGUUUACUACUAUGUACUAACAUUUAAGUUGAUACAAUGCCUGAAUGUAAUUACAUCUGUAAUAAACAUUGUACAAAACAAUAAAUGUAUUUUUGAUGCAAGUACAUAACA